rnacentral:rRNA from 1 species
GGCCAGACUCCUACGGGAGGCAGCAGUCGGGAAUAUUGCGCAAUGGAGGAAACUCUGACGCAGUGACGCCGCGUAUAGGAAGAAGGUUUUCGGAUUGUAAACUAUUGUCGUUAGGGAAGAUACAAGACAGUACCUAAGGAGGAAGCCCCGGCUAACUAUGUGCCAGCAGCCGCGGUAAUACAUAGGGGGCAAGCGUUAUCCGGAUUUAUUGGGUGUAAAGGGGGCGCAGACGGCGAUGCAAGCCAGGAGUGAAAGCCCGGGGCCCAACCCCGGGACUGCUCUUGGAACUGCGUGGCUGGAGUGCAGGAGGGGCAGGCGGAAUUCCUGGUGUAGCGGUGAAAUGCGUAGAUAUCAGGAGGAACACCGGUGGCGAAGGCGGCCUGCUGGACUGCAACUGACGUUGAGGCCCGAAAGCGUGGGGAGCAAACAGGAUUAGAUACCCCUGUAUA